rnacentral:rRNA from 1 species
AUUGAACGCUGGCGGCAUGCUUUACACAUGCAAGUCGAACGGCAGCGCGGGGCAACCUGGCGGCGAGUGGCGAACGGGUGAGUAAUAUAUCGGAACGUACCCAGGAGUGGGGGAUAACGUAGCGAAAGUUACGCUAAUACCGCAUACGACCCAAGGGUGAAAGUGGGGGAUCGCAAGACCUCAUGCUCAUGGAGCGGCCGAUAUCUGAUUAGCUAGUUGGUGAGGUAAAGGCUCACCAAGGCGACGAUCAGUAGCUGGUCUGAGAGGACGACCAGCCACACUGGGACUGAGACACGGCCCAGACUCCUACGGGAGGCAGCAGUGGGGAAUUUUGGACAAUGGGGGCAACCCUGAUCCAGCAAUGCCGCGUGAGUGAAGAAGGCCUUCGGGUUGUAAAGCUCUUUUGUCAGGGAAGAAACACCGGCUCUAACACAGUCCGGGAAUGACGGUACCUGAAGAAUAAGCACCGGCUAACUACGUGCCAGCCGCCGCCGUAAAAC